rnacentral:misc_RNA from 1 species
GAUGAAGAACGUAGCGAAAUGCGAUAAGUAAUGUGAAUUGCAGAAUUCAGUGAAUCAUCGAAUCUUUGAACGCACAUUGCGCCCGCCAGUAUUCUGGCGGGCAUACCUGUUCGAGCGUCAUUUCAACCAUCAAGCCCCCGGCUUGUGUUGGGGACCUGCGGCUGCCGCAGGCCCUGAAAACCAGUGGCGGGCUCGCUAGUCACUCCGAGCGUAGUAAUACAUCUCGCUCAGGGCGUGCUGCGGGUUCCGGCCGUUAAAAAGCCUUAUUUACCCAAGGUUGACCUCGGAUCAGGUAGGAAGACCCGCUGAACUUAAGCAUAUCAAUAAGCGGAGGA